CAAUUUAAAUAAGCUUUGUUUUACCAUUGUCAUAAACCCAUCAUAAGCCAUUUUUCUGCUCGUUUAAUGGAAAGAGGUAUGUGAAAUUUAUACAGAUUCACUUGUGUUGGACAGGGAUUCUUGUGUAAAUUUUUCUCAAAGCCUAGCAGAAACCAAAAAAAAAAAAGAAAAAA